GCUUGUGCCUAUAUGGCUGGGGGUGGUGUGUGGGGGAGGGGAAGGUACCCUUCCUUGCCUAUGAUGUAAGAAACUGGAAAGUUUAACGUGGCUACACAAACCACGUUGGCUAUGGCAAUGAAGAGAAGAGGAAGAUUGAAGGUGACAAAAGAAGGGCACUCUUCUAUGUGUUUCACAUGUUAACCAUCCUUUAUAUCUCCUACCAUAUUUGAAGAAGACAACCCAACGAAAUUAGAAGCCAAAGCACUUGCCAGGAUACUAAACGUAAAGCAUCUAGCAUUUAAUACCAUCUUAAAUCUGCAUUGAUAAAAAUCAAAAGGGAAGACCAAAAACUUAUUUCUCCGAUUCAAAUGACAGUUCAUCAGUGCCCAUCAAGAGAAUUAAUGGAGUAAUUAUUCAGAGGCUGUUAAGAGUUGACCUCGCUAAUAAAAUAAGAAUCGAACAUGUUAACCUUUCCCUUUUCAUUUUGGUACCUCCAAUACGAUCGUCAAAUAUAAUAAAGGAUAAGGA
rnacentral:lncRNA from 1 species